GGUUGUAAAGGGCCCCCCCGCAGCUUUUCCGAGUCGCUGCACGGAUUUGGGGGGGGCGAAGGGCAGGCAGCUCCUGAGUCGCUGCGGCAGAGCUGAAUGGCAGACUGGCUGGUAAAAGCCCCAAGGUUUUGGACAGCUCUUUGGACGGACUCUUGUUAUCAGGGGGGAUCUGCAAAGUUGGGACUUUCACAUAGCUGCAUGGCUUAGUUAUAGCUGCGUGUUGGCUCAGAGUAUAAAUAAUGUGAACAGGGCAGAUGGGGUAAACUGAGGGUGGCAAAGUAUUGAGCAAGCUCUAUCAGUUGCAUCAGCAGAGAGUUUAAGAUAUCGCUAGUUUACGAACUGAGGCUCUGAUUGACUGCUAGGGGUGAAAUUACAGAGUGAAAUCAGAAAAUAAGAGGAUGUAACAUGGCAAUCUUCUCUUCUCUCUUCUCUCUUCUCUCUUCUCUGCAAGUCAGGAAUUGCUGAUAUUGGACUUUCAGUCUAUUUGGAAUAACUGAGGCUGCAGUGUCUGGUGGAUAUUGGAGAUUACUGGGAGUGUUUUGCAGUUUCUUUCAGAUUUCCAGGCCUGACUCCACUGUAGUUACCAAGCACUAAGUAAAAUACUGUAUAUUUAGCACUCUAUCUUCAUGAGAUCACAGAAUCAUUUAGGUUGGAGAAGACCUCCAUGAAGAUCACCAUGUCUAACCAUAAACGUAGAACUGCCAAGUCUACCAUUAAACCAUCAAACCCAAAGCAUCAUAUAUAUACAUCUUUUGAAUACCUCCAGGAACGGUGACUCAACUCCUUCCCUGGGCAGCCUGUUCCAAUUCCUUACAACCCUUUCAGUGAAGAAUUUUUUUCUAAUAUCUAACCUAAACCUCCCUUGUAGCAUUGUAGGUUCUUGUGCCCCAAGCACUUAACCUUGUUGAACCUCAAACAGUUGGCCUUUGCCCAGCCAGCCAGCCUAUCCAGACCCCUCUGCAGAGCCCUCCUGCCCUUAAGCAGAUCAAUGCUCCUGCCCAACUUGGUGUCCUCUGCAAAUUUACUGAAGGGUGCAAUUAAUCCCCUUGUCCAGGGAAUUGGUAAUGAUAUUUGUGUUCUUGUGUACAUGCAUAAAUUUGUUGACAGAGAAUUUAUGUCAGAAAUUAACAUUCAGAGGAUCCAAGCAAUGUUUCUUUGUAGAAUACCAGUAGCUGUGCAUUAUAGUCACUGUUUCUUUCAUUUUGUUCAUAUGGAGUGGAUCAUGUAAUAUUUAAAAGAAGGUAAUUGGGCUAAUUUUUUAUUUGUGGUCUUGAGAAGUAAUGUGCAAGUCUUUCUGGGCAUUAAUCUGCCUUUUUAAUACCCAUUCUUUCAACCCUGGGAUUUUUUUUGCCUGGUUUCAUAUUUAUAAGCUGAGCAACACAGCAACACUACAGUGCCUCUGUGACAGCAGGAUCUGAUAAGGCAAAUUAUCAAAAGAAGACAUUCUGGUGACACAGUUAUUUUCGUCUUUAUAGUUUGCACCUGUUGAACUGUUGGCAAAAAGUCAGUUAAGAUUCAAAUUAGAAAAAAAAAAAAUAUGUGCCACAAAUGUAGCUUGGUUGUGCUGGGUCUAAGGGGUUAGGAACAAAGAAGACUGGUAUUUAACCUUUAGAAAUUGUAUUCUAGCUUACAUAAAGCAUCCUUUAGCCUCCCAUUUAACUUUUAUAGAUCUGUCUUUAUUAGUAGGCAUGCUCUUUGGAAAAAUCCUCAGGAAGUGCUCCUGCUGGGUCUCCCCAGCUGCCCCAAGGUACCAAUCCCCUCAGCUGCAUGCAAGGAGUGAAGCACAACUUCAUUUCCCCAAAAUUACUGUCCCACAUCGUGGUUGUUCAGAAACUGCCCAGAAUGUCAAAAGGUGUUGGACUAGGACAACGGGAUCUGGAGCCAAAUCUCUUUCAGCUGCGGAUGCAGUGGCACAAAGGGAAAAGCAGGAGGAAUGUCCUCACUGCUUCUUUGCAAAUGGUCUGAUAUGUUGUGUUCUAUACAGCAAUACAAACUGAACACAAAACUAGAAGCUUGUUGCACAACAAAUGAAGCUUGCCAUACAUGUAUAUCCUAAAAAUAAUGGCUUUUUCACUUUGGCAAAAAGAAUACACUUUUAUUAUAAGCUGAAUAAUUAUUUCUUUUUAAAAAUUGAGAACUUUUCAUCUGAGUUGAUAAAUUGCACCUCAUAACUGCAAAAAAAAUGCAGUUUCUGUCUUAAGAAAUUUGUGUGUGUGUGUGUGGUGCAUGUUUUUUUUUUCCUCUCAUUAGCUGGCAUGUUGCACCAUGCAAACUUUUUGAGCAAACUUUUAAUUAGGUUAAAUAGAGCAUUAGUAUUAGAGCAAGAAGGGUUGGUCAAGCAAUCAUGACUCAAGACAAUCUCUGAAACACUUUGACUAGAAAGGAAAUACAGCUCUGUGUGGGUGAACGAAAAAUGAGACCUUUUAUAUGCAUUAUUAUUUAUUGUUCUACUUGAAGUUUGGAUAACAAUUGUAAACCGCAUGUGUGCAUGUAUGUGCAUGGACUUAUAAUAAAUAGUUAAUGAAAUCUGGAGCACAAA